rnacentral:tRNA from 1 species
GGUAAGAUGGCUGAAUUUAUAGGCGAUAGACUGUAAAUCUAUAUAUGGGAAAACCCUCUUACCA